rnacentral:rRNA from 1 species
AGUGAACGCUGGCGGUAUGCCUAACACAUGCAAGUCGAACGGCAGCACAGUAAGAGCUUGCUCUUACUGGUGGCGAGUGGCGGACGGGUGAGGAAUACAUCGGAAUCUACUUUUUCGUGGGGGAUAACGUAGGGAAACUUACGCUAAUACCGCAUACUACCUACGGGUGAAAUCAGGGGAUCUUCGGACCUUGCGCGAUUGAAUGAGCCGAUGUCGGAUUAGCUAGUUGGCGGGGUAAAGGCCCACCAAGGCGACGAUCCGUAGCUGGUCUGAGAGGAUGAUCAGCCACACUGGAACUGAGACACGGUCCAGACUCCUACGGGAGGCAGCAGUGGGGAAUAUUGGACAAUGGGCGCAAGCCUGAUCCAGCCAUACCGCGUGGGUGAAGAAGGCCUUCGGGUUGUAAAGCCCUUUUGUUGGGAAAGAAAAGCAGCAGGUUAAUCCCCCGCUGUUCUGACGGUACCCAAAGAAUAAGCACCGGCUAACUUCGUG